UACGGGAGGCAGCAGUGGGGAAUAUUGCACAAUGGGCGCAAGCCUGAUGCAGCCAUGCCGCGUGUAUGAAGAAGGCCUUCGGGUUGUAAAGUACUUUCAGUCGUGAGGAAGGUGUUAAGGUUAAUAACCUUAGCAAUUGACGUUAGCGACAGAAGAAGCACCGGCUAACUCCGUGCCAGCAGCCGCGGUAAUACGGAGGGUGCGAGCGUUAAUCGGAAUUACUGGGCGUAAAGGGCACGCAGGCGGUUAAUUAAGUUGGAUGUGAAAUCCCCGGGCUUAACCUGGGAAUGGCAUUCAAGACUGGUUAGCUAGAGUCUUGUAGAGGGGGUAGAAUCCGAUGUGUAGCGGUGAAAUGCGUAGAGAUGUGGAGGAAUACCGGUGGUGAAGGCGGCCCCUGGACAAAGACUGACGCUCAUGUGCGAAAGCGUGGGGAGCAAACAGGGAUUAGAUACC
rnacentral:rRNA from 1 species